rnacentral:rRNA from 1 species
AUUGAACGCUGGCGGCAGGCUUAACACAUGCAAGUCGAACGAGUGGCGGACGGGUGAGUAAUGCUUGGGAAUCUAGCUUAUGGAGGGGGAUAACUACGGGAAACUGUAGCUAAUACCGCGUACCAUAGGAUGAGCCCAAGUGGGAUUAGGUUGUUGGUGAGGUAACGGCUCACCAAGCCGACGAUCCCUAGCUGGUCUGAGAGGAUGACCAGCCACACUUGGACUGAGACACGGCCCAGACUCCUCCGGGAGGCAGCAGUGGGGAAUAUUGCGCAAUGGGGGCAACCUGACGCAGCCAUGCCGCGUGAAUGAAGAAGGCCUUCGGGUUGUAAAGUUCUUUCGGUAGCGAGGCGUUAACUACAGAAUAAGCACCGGCUAACUCCGUGCCAGCAGCCGCGGUAAUAC